UGGAAUUCGAUUGGAAUUUCUUUUGUCUCCACAAGAUCGUCUGUUCAUAUCUUCAAUCAGAUUAGAAGGCAGAUGAACACCGCCUUCUUCAUGGAAGUCAUCAUCCUCAUGUCUUGGAGUAUUUGGACCACAAGGAAUGACUGGACUUUCAAUAAUGUGGAUCCUUUGACUUCAGGAACUCGAUCUAAAUUUUUGUCUGAGCUCUCGUUGGUGGCUUCGCAUAGGAUGAACCCUGUUUUAAGUUAGGAAUGUUUAGAUUGGAUCCACUCCCUCUGAACCUCCUCUUUGUCCCCUGUUUUUUACUUUUCUCUUGUUUGUUGUUUUGGUGUUUUUUGCUCUGUAACCUUUUCAGACCUUUCUUUAAUAUAUUUCAGUAGGGCUCGUCCCUCCUGUUUC
rnacentral:lncRNA from 1 species